rnacentral:rRNA from 1 species
UACGGGGGGGGCAAGCGUUGUUCGGAAUUACUGGGCGUAAAGGGCUCGUAGGCGGCCAACUAAGUCAUACGUGAAAUCCCUCGGCUUAACCGGGGAACUGCGUCUGAUACUGGAUGGCUUGAGUUCGGGAGAGGGAUGCGGAAUUCCAGGUGUAGCGGUGAAAUGCGUAGAUAUCGGGAGGAACACCGGUGGCGAAGGCGGUUCUCUGGGCCGAUACUGACGCUGAGGAGCGAAAGCGUGGGGAGCAAACAGG